rnacentral:rRNA from 1 species
AUGACGUACUUGUACUGAUUGAGAUUUUAACACGAAGUGAGUGGCGAACGGGUGAGUAACACGUGGGUAACCUGCCCAGAAGUAGGGGAUAACACCUGGAAACAGAUGCUAAUACCGUAUAACAGAGAAAACCGCAUGGUUUUCUUUUAAAAGAUGGCUCUGCUAUCACUUCUGGAUGGACCCGCGGCGUAUUAGCUAGUUGGUGAGGUAAAGGCUCACCAAGGCAGUGAUACGUAGCCGACCUGAGAGGGUAAUCGGCCACAUUGGGACUGAGACACGGCCCAGACUCCUACGGGAGGCAGCAGUAGGGAAUCUUCCACAAUGGACGCAAGUCUGAUGGAGCAACGCCGCGUGAGUGAAGAAGGGUUUCGGCUCGUAAAGCUCUGUUGUUAAAGAAGAACGUGGGUAAGAGUAACUGUUUACCCAGUGACGGUAUUUAACCAGAAAGCCACGGCUAACUACGUGCCAGCAGCCGCGGUAAUACGUAGGUGGCAAGCGUUAUCCGGAUUUAUUGGGCGUAAAGCGAGCGCAGGCGGUCUUUUAAGUCUAAUGUGAAAGCCUUCGGCUCAACCGAAGAAGUGCAUUGGAAACUGGGAGACUUGAGUGCAGAAGAGGACAGUGGAACUCCAUGUGUAGCGGUGAAAUGCGUAGAUAUAUGGAAGAACACCAGUGGCGAAGGCGGCUGUCUGGUCUGCAACUGACGCUGAGGCUCGAAAGCAUGGGUAGCGAACAGGAUUAGAUACCCUGGUAGUCCAUGCCGUAAACGAUGAUUACUAAGUGUUGGAGGGUUUCCGCCCUUCAGUGCUGCAGCUAACGCAUUAAGUAAUCCGCCUGGGGAGUACGACCGCAAGGUUGAAACUCAAAAGAAUUGACGGGGGCCCGCACAAGCGGUGGAGCAUGUGGUUUAAUUCGAAGCUACGCGAAGAACCUUACCAGGUCUUGACAUCUUCUGACAGUCUAAGAGAUUAGAGGUUCCCUUCGGGGACAGAAUGACAGGUGGUGCAUGGUUGUCGUCAGCUCGUGUCGUGAGAUGUUGGGUUAAGUCCCGCAACGAGCGCAACCCUUAUUACUAGUUGCCAGCAUUAAGUUGGGCACUCUAGUGAGACUGCCGGUGACAAACCGGAGGAAGGUGGGGACGACGUCAA